UGAGGAAUAUUGGACAAUGGGGGCAACCCUGAUCCAGCCAUGCCGCGUGAGUGAUGAAGGCCUUCGGGUUGUAAAGCUCUUUCAGAUGUGAAGAUGAUGACGGUAGCAUCAGAAGAAGCCCCGGCUAAAUUCGUGCCAGCAGCCGCGGUAAUACGAAUGGGGCAAGCGUUGUUCGGAAUCACUGGGCUUAAAGCGUACGCAGGCGGUCUAGCAAGUCAGGAGUGAAAUCCCAGGGCUUAACCCUGGAAUUGCUUUUGAAACUGCUAGACUAGAAUCCGAGAGAGGUUGGCGGAAUUCCGAGUGUAGAGGUGAAAUUCGCAGAUAUUCGGAGGAACAUCAGUGGCGAAGGCGGCCAACUGGAUCGGUAUUGACGCUCAUGUACGAAAGCGUGGGGAUCAAACAG
rnacentral:rRNA from 1 species